AAGUCGUAACAAGGUCUCCGUUGGUGAACCAGCGGAGGGAUCAUUACUGAGUACUACACUCUCUACCCUUUGUGAACUAUUAUACCUGUUGCUUCGGCGGCGCCCGCAAGGGUGCCCGCCGGUCUCAUCAGAAUCUCUGUUUUCGAACCCGACGAUACUUCUGAGUGUUCUUAGCGAACUGUCAAAACUUUUAACAACGGAUCUCUUGGCUCCAGCAUCGAUGAAGAACGCAGCGAAACGCGAUAUGUAAUGUGAAUUGCAGAAUUCAGUGAAUCAUCGAAUCUUUGAACGCACAUGGCGCCUUCCAGUAUCCUGGGAGGCAUGCCUGUCCGAGCGUCGUUUCAACCCUCGAGCCCCUGUGGCCCGGCGUUGGGGAUCUGCCACGGCAGGCCCCUAAAACCAGUGGCGGACCCGAAGGGCCCUCUCCUUUGCGCAGUAGCAUUCGCCUCGCAUCGGGAGUCCUCGGCGUCCUGCCUCUAAACCCCCCACAAGCCCGCUUCGGCGGCACCAAGGUUGACCUCGGAUCAGGUAGGAAUACCCGCUGAAGCUUAA
rnacentral:rRNA from 1 species